rnacentral:lncRNA from 1 species
GGCUGUCAAACUUAUCCUACACACUAAUUCGUUCAUCAAUUUUAAUUUGGUUUGCUUAAAGACUCGAACUUGACCACUGAGCUGCGAUCAAGGUCCAUCUUAAUCUAAUCAAAGAUAUGGACUUGACCAACUACAACUAUUUUAUUGGUUCUAGAGAAAUUCAAAUUUAAUCUAGUUCAAUUUUUGAUUAGAUUUAAUCAAUUUUUCUAUUAAGUCCAUUGAUUCUA